UUGGUGAUCGUGAUGUGUUUGUAGAUCUUACUUUACUAUACAUUCUUGUUGCUACAAUUAUCUCUAUCUAUAAUGAACUUGGCCCAGUAAUUACAGUGGAAAAUAUAUUCUAAAAAUUUACAAAAAUUUACAAAAAAUUAUGAAAAAUGUUAAAAAAUGACUAUAAAGGGCAAUAACUCCUUAAGGGAUAAACUGACAAUUAUGGUCAUGUUGACUUAUUUGUAGAUCUUACUUUGCUGAACAUUAUUGCUGUUUACAGUUUAUC
rnacentral:lncRNA from 1 species